AUUGAACGCUGGCGGCAGGCCUAACACAUGCAAGUCGAGCGAGCGGCGGACGGGUGAGUAAUUUCUGGGAAACUGCCUGAUGGAGGGGGAUAACUACUGGAAACGGUAGCUAAUACCGCAUACCAUCAGAUGUGCCCAGAUGGGAUUAGCUAGUAGGUGGGGUGACGGCUCGCCUAGGCGACGAUCCCUAGCUGGUCUGAGAGGAUGACCAGCCACACUGGAACUGAGCCACGGGCCAGACUCGUACGGGAGGCAUGAGUGGGGAAUAUUGCACAAUGGGCGCAGGCCUGAUGCAGCCAUGCCGCGUGGGUGAAGAAGGCCUUCGGGUUGUAAAGCACUUUCAGCGGGGAGGCGUUACCCGCAGAAGAAGCACCGGCUAACUCCGUGCCAGCCGCCGCGGUAAUAC
rnacentral:rRNA from 1 species